AAUAUUGGGCAAUGGGCGCAAGCCUGACCCAGCAACGCCGCGUGAGGGAAGAAGGUCUUCGGAUUGUAAACCUCUGUCCUUGGGGACGAAAAAAAUGACGGUACCCAAGGAGGAAGCUCCGGCUAACUACGUGCCAGCAGCCGCGGUAAUACGUAGGGGGCAAGCGUGGUCCGGAAUGAUUGGGCGUAAAGGGUGCGUUGGCGGCCUUUUAAGUCAGAUGUGAAAGCCCACGGCUUAACCGUGGGACUGCAUUUGAAACUGGAGGGCUUGAGUAUCGGAGAGGGUAGUGGAAUUCCCAGUGUAGCGGUGGAAUGCGUAGAUAUUGGGAGGAACACCAGUGGCGAAGGCGACUACCUGGACGAAAACUGACGCUGAGGCACGAAAGCUAGGGGAGCAAAC
rnacentral:rRNA from 1 species